AGGAUUCCCCUAGUAACGGCGAGUGAAGAGGGAAAAGCUCAAAUUUGUAAUCUGGCGGUCUUUGGCCGUCCGAGUUGUAAUUUGGAGAGGCGUUUUCCGCGUCGGACCACGUACAAGUCCCCUGGAACGGGGCGUCGUAGAGGGUGAGAAUCCCGUUCACGACGUGGACUACCGAGGCUAUGUGAUGCGCCCUCGAAGAGUCGAGUUGUUUGAGAAUGCAGCUCAAAAUGGGUGGUAAAUUCCAUCUAAAGCUAAAUACUGGCGAGAGACCGAUAGCGAACAAGUACCGUGAGGGAAAGAUGAAAAGAACUUUGGAAAGAGAGUUAAACAGUACGUGAAAUUGCUGAAAGGGAAACGCUUGGAGUCAGUCGCUUUGUCGAGAAUUCAGCCGUGCUUCUGUGCGGUGUACUUUCUAGAUGAGGGGCCAGCAUCGAUUUUGGUUGCGGGAAAACGGCGCGAGGAAUGUGGCACCUCCGGGUGUGUUAUAGCCUUGCGUCACGACCGGGGCUGGGAUUGAGGACCGCAGCGCCCGCAAGGGUGGGUUAGGAUGCUGGC
rnacentral:rRNA from 1 species